CAGUCGCGUCGGCCGGGAAUCAGCUUCGCUCUUGCGUGGUGUACUUUCUGGUUGACGGGUCAGCAUCAAUUUUGACUGCUGGAAAAAGGCUUAGGGAAUGUGGCAGCUUCGGCUGUGUUAUAGCCCUUGGUCACAUACAGCGGUUGGGAUUGAGGUUUCAGUGCACGCUUCGGUUGUGCUUUGAUGCUGGCGUAAUGGCUUUAAGCGACCCGUCUUGAAACACGGACCAAGGAGUCUAGCAUAUAUGCGAGUG
rnacentral:rRNA from 1 species